rfam:Micromonospora aurantiaca ATCC 27029, complete genome.
GGGCGCGUAGCUCAGUGGGAGAGCACUCGCCUUACAAGCGAGGGGUCGCAGGUUCGAAACCUGCCGCGCCCA